rnacentral:lncRNA from 1 species
AUGGCUCAUCCUUUUUUUUUUUUUUUUUUGGGGGGGGGUGGGGUGGGAUUCCCCAAGCCCAGCUUUUUGGGAUGGGAAAUGGUGGCUGUCCUGGUGAAGCACUGCCAUGGGACAACUGUCCCCUCUGUCACCCUCGGUGCACGCAGCAUUGCAGGGAUGAUCCGAAAUACACAGACUGGUGAACCCAGCUCAGCGCAUUGGGAUACGAUGGACCAUGGCAAGGAUGAGGGCAGGAGGGAAGAGUGUCCCCUUCCCUGGGGUGCCACCACCAUCACCCCUACCCCUAGAGAUGCAGGCAGGCUUCAUCUGGGGACAGGGAUGUGCAAAAAGGGGUUUGGCCCAGCUCGGGGCAGUGGGGGACAGGAGAGGCUUCCAGGAGGAAGGGGAAGCCAUGGGUGGGAUGGCCCCAUCCCAAAUCACUGCGCUGGGGAAGCAGCACUGGGUGACAGCGGCGUGGGAUGCUUUGGAGGACAAGUGAGAUGGCAACACCUCUCCCCUCCUCUCCAAAACUUCUCAUCGUCGCCCCAUCCCGCCAGCCCCCCUCCCUCAGCCCAGCCGAAGGGCGAUGUAAAAAAAAAUCACGUCCGUGGCUUUCGUGGCUUCAGCCGUGUCCAAAUUGACCCAGGCAAGGCCCUGACCACCCGGACAAAAGUCCCGGACAAAGCCGAUCUGGCAGAGGUUCAGGUAUGUGCUUGGCCUGCCUUUCCUGCUCCUCAGCUCGCUGGAAGCCUUCGCUCUGCUCCCCAGCGCUGGGGCCCCGCCAGGCUGAGAGAAAGCCUUUGCUUUUUUUUUUUCUCCGAGAACAACUCCUGCCAAGAGGCUCUGCUCUCCGAAAUCCUUCCCGCAAUAAACAACAGUUAUUUGUUGCAGAAUCCCUGGCAGCAUCGGCCGGGUGAAUCAUUUAUUCCUCCUCUCCUUCCCGUAAAAGCAAAGAGACACGUGCUGCCGGCUGGGAGCAGUGCUCUCGGCCACCUUCCCGAGCAGCCAGCAGGCAAUGCAUGUCCACGAGCAAGAUUUGGGACUCCGUGUUCCCGUCCAGCUGGUGGGGUUGUUAGCGUAGCAGCCGCAUAA